AGAACGCGCCCGACGUUGAGGGAUGAAAGCUGGGGAGCGAACCGGAUUAGAUACCCGGGUAGUCCCAGCUGUAAACGAUGCAGGCUAGGUGUUUGGACGGCCACGUGCCGUUCUAGUGCCGCAGGGAAGCUGUUAAGCCUGCCGCCUGGGGAGUACGGUCGCAAGAUUGAAACUUAAAGGAAUUGGCGGGGGAGCACCACAAGGGGUGAAGCUUGCGGUUUAAUUGGAGUCAACGCCGGAAAUCUCACCGGGAGCGACAGCAGUUUGAAGGCCAGAUUAAAGGUCUUGCCAGACGAGCUGAGAGGAGGUGCAUGGCCGUCGCCAGUUCGUGCCGUGAGGUGUCCUGUUAAGUCAGGCAACGAUCGAGACCCGCGUCCUCUGUUGCCACUGGUUUUGAGCCAGGCACACUGAGGAGACCGCCGCUGAUAAAGCGGAGGAAGGAGCGGGCCACGGCAGGUCAGUAUGCCCCGAAUCUCCCGGGCCACACGCGAGCUGCAAUGGCAGGUACAAUGGGUUCCGACCUCGAAAGGGGAAGGCAAUCUCGAAAGCCUGCCGUAGUUGGGAUUGAGGGUUGUAACCCACC
rnacentral:rRNA from 1 species